AGUGAACGCUGGCGGUAGGCCUAACACAUGCAAGUCGAACGGCAGCACAGUAAGAGCUUGCUCUUACGGGUGGCGAGUGGCGGACGGGUGAGGAAUACAUCGGAAUCUACUUUUUCGUGGGGGAUAACGUAGGGAAACUUACGCUAAUACCGCAUACGACCUACGGGUGAAAGCAGGGGAUCUUCGGACCUUGCGCGAUUGAAUGAGCCGAUGUCGGAUUAGCUAGUUGGCGGGGGAAAGGCCCACCAAGGCGGCGAUCCGUAGCUGGUCUGAGAGGAUGGUCGGCCACACUGGAACUGAGACACGGUCCAGACUCCUACGGGAGGCAGCAGUGGGGAAUAUUAGACAAUGGGCGCAAGCCUGAUCCAGCCAUACCGCGUGGGUGAAGAAGGCCUUCGGGUUGUAAAGCCCUUUUGUUGGGAAAGAAAAGCAGCAGGUUAAUACCCCGCUGUUCUGACGGUACCCAAAGAAUAAGCACCGGCUAACUUCGUG
rnacentral:rRNA from 1 species